GUCAUUUUUAUUUAUUUUUUCAACCGCAAUUUGACCAGCGCAACAUUUGGGGGCAGCACUUCGUGGGUGCAACCUGCAUCAUUCCAUAGGUGACAUACGAGUAAGUGAUUGAUGAAUGCGUUGCGUUGAUGGUUCGCCACGACCACGGCAGUUUGCGAAAUCGCAAGCAUGGGAAAAGACGAUAAAGCUGUGGACAAGACCACGAUUGUCAGGUCUCGCUAUCUUGGUUCUCAGUUUUUGAGCCCCUCAACGGCAGAAGACUUGCUGGAGCACUUUAAGGAGGGCACCAAGGAACUUAAUUUAAGGAACAUGCUUUCUGUGUCAAUGGAUGGACCCACAGUAAAUUGGAAAGUCAUGGAUCUCCUACAACUGGAACAUGCAAUACAUUUCUGAUCCUGAUCUUUCCUACAA